CAAAACCCCACCCCCUUAACUCUAAACCCUAAGGUUUGGAUUAACUAAUCCAAGGGGUAUAAAUGUAUAUUUACCUCUUUAAUGAAACCUAUUUUUAUGACUUUGACCCUUGAGUGCUACUUUGGGAACAAAAAUUUGUUUUGGUGCUAUCCUAGUCUUUUUCUCCAUAAAUAAUUGAUGAAAGUAUUAGUAGUUUUUAUUUAAGUAUCUUAGAAAGCCCAUUAAAAGGAAGGGGUUCAAAAAAAUAUCUCAACUAAAAAGCCCAUGGGCUUAGAGAAACCAAAAACCACACGGCUCUCCGUUUGCCGCUUUCCCGCUCCUCCUCCAUCAAAAAACUCUCCAUCUUCUUCACUAAACGAUCGAACUUUCUUCUUCGUUGCUUGGUUCCGGAAGCAGUCACAAUUUUUUUAUUGGAAGGCUAAAAAAAAACUCGCCGGAGAUGGACACACCGGAUAAGAACCGCAUCUCCGCCGUUUCGUACUGCAACUUCGAGGAUUCUCCAGUUUUUCAGUAUAUUAACGGACUUUCCCCAAUAGAGCCAGUGAAGGCUGAUCAUGCCUUCCACUCGUUGGCUCUUGCAUCUCCUUCAUCUCUCUUUAGCUCGCCGCAGAUAGUUUGCAUCAAAAGACAAGAUGUUCUGGUUCAGCUGAAGUGUAGUGGACCUGAGGAGGAGAUGGCGAAUGUUUCUGAAACCGAGGCGUUUAAGGAGCAGGUUAAGGUAGCAAUUGAGUUGGCGAGUUCUUUGAGGAAGGGAGAGGAUGGAUGUUGUAGUCAGAUGGGUUCUUCUGAUGAAGUAGUAGUACCAAUGGAUGCUGAGAAUGAAGUGAUAAAACAAUCUGGGGAGUUGUGUAGACGGAUUAAUGAGCUUGAUGCUGAUUCGGAUAUGGUAAUUCAAACCGAAGAAAUGGAAGCUGAGACUGGGUCUGGCGAGCAAGAGAUACCAAAUGGGAAGGAUUCAAGAAUUUGCUCUUUUACUGUGGUGCCUCAGCAGUUUUCUUAUCACUCAGGGAAUGUAGUGCAGCCUUGCAGUGUGCAAGUUGCAGCUGGAGCUCUAGACACCACUCUUAGCAGUUUAUCGAACGUUGCAGCUUUUGAUUCUACAGCCAAAGCUGAAGAUGAGGAAGAAAUAGAACUACAGCGCAGUAGCAAGCAACGGAGUGUACGCAGGCGCUGCUUGACUUUUGAUUUGGGAGGAUCUUGUAAAAGGAUACCUUUGCGUGAUUCCACAAACGACAGUCCCCUUGAUUUUACAUCUAUCAACGAAGCUCCUACUCCUCAAAGCUGUUUACACUCCAGCAAACAAGAGACCGAUGAGAUUCUACCCGUACCACGAACUAUUGGCCUGCACUUGAAUGCUCUCGUGAACCCCUACCGAAAUAAAUUUACUGCCAAAGAUGGCUGUGUUCUAUCUCAUGCUGCAGAAGAAUUCACAACUCCUGUUUCCACAAUAAGGGAUUUGGUGGCCUGUGAUAACCAAAUCAUGGAGGAGGCGUCUGAGAGAUCUAUGGAAGGAGAAUGGGUUGAGGAACUUGGCAGUUGUAAGCGCUGUAGAUGUAAAAGAUCCAGAUGCUUGAAGCUGUACUGUGAUUGUUUCGCUGCUGGUCUAUACUGCGUCGAACCUUGUUCGUGUCAAAAUUGUUUCAAUAGACCAAUCCAUGAAGAUAUAGUUAUAAGAAGUCGUCGAAAUGUUGAAGCUCGCAACCCAUUAGCUUUCGCUCCAAAAGUUGUCUUGACUUCUGCCUCUGCUACAUAUUUUGGGUAUGUUGAGGCAGUGACAUGUUAUUAUACAACUCAUGCUAAUUAUAGGAGGAGAGCAACAAGACUCCUGCUUCAGCAAGACACAUGAGAGGAUGCAACUGCAAGAAAUCAGGAUGUUCAAAGAAGUAUUGUGAAUGCUACUUGGUGGGCGUUGGAUGCUCGGCGAGCUGCAGGUGCAUAGGAUGCAAAAAUAUUCUCUGUCAAACAAAUGAGCAAUUCCACUUACCUUGCGCGGUAGAGUCUGAUGCGGUUACAAUCAACGAAGAAGCUAAAGAUCAUUGUGAUUAUAUCUAAGUCUAGUUCGGUAUAUAUAUAAUAAACAUAUAUGAAAGUGAUAAUCCCUGGUUAGGAAAGUAAAUGUGUUCUGUUUUACUUUGCUCUUUGUUUAAAUUUAUAUUGGUUGUUUGUUUGUUCUUUUGCACUGAAGAAAGUUUUGUAACGGUGGUAACGAUACUUGUCUCAUUUGUCUUCUACUCGUUUGUUUUCUCUUAUGGUUGUUGCGAGUUCGUUCUUGAAAGCAAGCCGAGCAUCGAAUUAUUAAAACAAGUAACAAAAGACAAGAUGACUUUGAUCUGGUCGAUCUUGGCCAGAACAGAACACUAUCAUUUGGAUUUUGUCUCAGUGUAGUGUCAAUUCGAUGGCAUGUGACAUAGAUUAUUAUGAACUCAAAGAACAUUAACAACCAGUACAAUGGCAGAAGAUCAAGAGGAGGUUUAUUCGUUAAGAUGAAAU